CAGGGAAGAAGGUCUGAGACACUUUCCUUAGGGUGGUGGCCCAGGAAGGAGAAGACAUGACUGAGGAAGACCACCUGACACACAUUAGUUACCUUUGCCUUUCUGGUGCUGAUAUGAAAAGAAAGUCUCCAGAUCAACCCCAUCUGCUGAUGCCUUAAAAUGAACUCAUGUGGAAACACCUGGCAAGGAUGCGCUUGGAGCUACCUGGAGUAGGAAGCUACUUUGACAGAGAUGCCAGUUAUUCUUAUCAAUGCUGUCCAUCCAGCACAGACCACCAUGGCAUAUUUGUAGCUCAAGUUCUCAUUGGAGACUUUGUUUGGGGAAACCAAGUCUACCUUCGCCUUCUAACCAGGCCUGGGAUUUCAAACAGACUUUUGGACAGCUGUGUAGAUAAUAGAAAAAAAUCCUUCCAUGUUGUCAUCUUUGAGAAGCAGAAGAUUUACCCAGCCUGUAUCUUGGAGUAUACACAUUCACCCCGAUAAGGAUGAUGUCAGAGGUAACAAUAUCUUGUCUGAAAAUAACUCUUUAUAGUUUGAUGUUUUUGAACUCUGCCUUGCAUGUAAGAACCUCGUAGCUGACCUUCAGCUAUACUUCAGCUCUGUUUCAGUU